rnacentral:rRNA from 1 species
UACGUAGGGUGCGAGCGUUGUCCGGAAUUAUUGGGCGUAAAGAGCUCGUAGGCGGUGUGUCGCGUCGGCCGUGGAAACCUGGGGCUCAACUCUGGGCGUGCGGUCGAUACGGGCAUCACUGGAGUUCGGCAGGGGAGACUGGAAUUCCUGGUGUAGCGGUGAAAUGCGCAGAUAUCAGGAGGAACACCGGUGGCGAAGGCGGGUCUCUGGGCCGAUACUGACGCUGAGGAGCGAAAGCAUGGGUAGCGAACAGG